AGUGAACGCUGGCGGUAGGCCUAACACAUGCAAGUCGAACGGCAGCACAGUAAGAGCUUGCUCUUACGGGUGGCGAGUGGCGGACGGGUGAGGAAUACAUCGGAAUCUACUUUUUCGUGGGGGAUAACGUAGGGAAACUUACGCUAAUACCGCAUACGACCUACGGGUGAAAGCAGUGGAUCUUCGGACCUUGCGCGAUUGAAUGAGCCGAUGUCGUAUUAGCUAGUUGGCGGGGAGAAGGCCCACCAAGCCGACGAUCCGUAGCUGGUCUGAGAGGAUGAUAUGCCACACUGGAACUUAGACACCAUCAUGACUCCUGAGGGAGGCAGCAGUGGGGAAUAUUGGACACAGGGCGCAAGCCUGAUCCAGCCCUACCGCGUGGGUGAAGAAGGCCUUCGGGUUGGAAAGCCCUUUUGUUGGGAAAGAAAAGCAGCAGGUUAAUACCCCGCUGUUCUGACGGUACCCAAAGAAUAAGCACCGGCUAACUUCGUG
rnacentral:rRNA from 1 species